GGGAUUGUGGCUCAGCGGUAGAGCGCUCGCCUUGCACGUGUGGGGCCCUGGGUUUGAUCCUCAAUACCA
rnacentral:tRNA from 1 species